AGAGCAAACAUAUUAAGAACAAUAUGCUAUAUAUGCCAGGUCCCUUGAAACAUAUGCUGUGCAGAUGUUUCUUUCCUGCAGCGACUGUGUCAAGCAGCAAGGAUGGACCGGCUUCCGGCACCCUCCCACCAGUUCUCCACAGGACAACCAUAAUGAGAUCACUGCUGAAACUUCACUUCCUCAACCCCCCAGACCAGUUCAGUUACUGUGCUUAUAACUCUAUGUCUCUUUUCUUUAAACCCUUAUUACAAGUGCAAUGGGCCAAAGUGCUAUGUAAAGCAAUAUAUGAAAAAAACAAACAAAAAAAAAACCCACUGCA